rnacentral:rRNA from 1 species
UACGAACUGUGCGAACGUUAUUCGGAAUCACUGGGCUUACAGGGUGCGUAGGCGGCUCAACAAGUCAGGUGUGAAAGCCCCCGGCUCAACCGGGGAACUGCACUUGAAACUGUUAGGCUCGAGUCAGCUAGAGGUACACGGAACUUCCAGUGGAGCGGUGAAAUGUGUUGAUAUUGGAAGGAACACCGGAGGCGAAAGCGGUGUACUGGGGCUGGUCUGACGCUGAGGCACGAAAGCCAGGGGAGCGAACGGG